ACCCGCUGAACUUAAGCAUAUCAAUAAGCGGAGGAAAAGAAACCAACAGGGAUUGCCUCAGUAACGGCGAGUGAAGCGGCAACAGCUCAAAUUUGAAAUCUGGCCUCUUUGGGGUCCGAGUUGUAAUUUGUAGAGGAUGUUUCGGGUACCGCCCCGGUCUAAAUUUCUUGGAACAGAAUGUCAGAGAGGGUGAGAAUCCCGUCUUGGACCGGCGGUAGGGCCCAUGUGAAACUCCUUCGACGAGUCGAGUUGUUUGGGAAUGCAGCUCAAAAUGGGUGGUAUAUUUCAUCUAAAGCUAAAUAUUGGCCAGAGACCGAUAGCGCACAAGUAGAGUGAUCGAAAGAUGAAAAGAACUUUGAAAAGAGAGUUAAACAGUAUGUGAAAUUGUUGAAAGGGAAGCGCUUGCAACCAGACUUGAGCGCGGCGGUUCCCCCUUCCUUUUGGUUGGGUUACUCCGUCGUGUCCAGGCCAACAUCGGUUCUGGGGGUCGGUUAAAGGCUUGGGGAAUGUACCUACGUCUUCGGGCGUAGACUUAUAGCCCCGAGUGUCAUGCGACCUCCCGGGACCGAGGAACGCGCUUCGGCUCGGAUGUUGGCGUAAUGGUUGUAAGCGGCCCGUCUUGAAACACGG
rnacentral:rRNA from 1 species